AGUCGAGCGAGCUUGCCUAGAUGAAUUUGGUGCUUGCACCAGAUGAAACUAGAUACAAGCGAGCGGCGGACGGGUGAGUAACACGUGGGUAACCUGCCCAAGAGACUGGGAUAACACCUGGAAACAGAUGCUAAUACCGGAUAACAACACUAGACGCAUGUCUAGAGUUUAAAAGAUGGUUCUGCUAUCACUCUUGGAUGGACCUGCGGUGCAUUAGCUAGUUGGUAAGGUAACGGCUUACCAAGGCAAUGAUGCAUAGCCGAGUUGAGAGACUGAUCGGCCACAUUGGGACUGAGACACGGCCCAAACUCCUACGGGAGGCAGCAGUAGGGAAUCUUCCACAAUGGACGCAAGUCUGAUGGAGCAACGCCGCGUGAGUGAAGAAGGGUUUCGGCUCGUAAAGCUCUGUUGGUAGUGAAGAAAGAUAGAGGUAGUAACUGGCCUUUAUUUGACGGUAAUUACUUAGAAAGUCACGGCUAACUACGUGCCAGCAGCCGCGGUAAUACGUAGGUGGCAAGCGUUGUCCGGAUUUAUUGGGCGUAAAGCGAGUGCAGGCGGUUCAAUAAGUCUGAUGUGAAAGCCUUCGGCUCAACCGGAGAAUUGCAUCAGAAACUGUUGAACUUGAGUGCAGAAGAGGAGAGUGGAACUCCAUGUGUAGCGGUGGAAUGCGUAGAUAUAUGGAAGAACACCAGUGGCGAAGGCGGCUCUCUGGUCUGCAACUGACGCUGAGGCUCGAAAGCAUGGGUAGCGAACAGGAUUAGAUACCCUGGUAGUCCAUGCCGUANACGAUGAGUGCUAAGUGUUGGGAGGUUUCCGCCUCUCAGUGCUGC
rnacentral:rRNA from 1 species